GAUGAACGCUAGCGGCAGGCUUAAUACAUGCAGGUCGAGGGGCAGCAGCUUUAUAGCAAUAUAGAGGCUGGCGACCGGCAAACGGGUGCGGAACACGUACACAACCUUCCUUUAAGAGGGGGAUAGCCCAUAGAAAUGUGGAUUAAUACCCCGUAACAUAUCGGUGUGGCAUCACACUGUUAUUAUAGUUUCGACGCUUGAAGAUGGGUGUGCGGCUGAUUAGGUAGUUGGCGGGGUAAAGGCCCACCAAGCCUUCGAUCAGUAGCUGAUGUGAGAGCAUGAGCAGCCACACGGGCACGGAGACACGGACCCGGCUCCUACGAGAGGCAGCAGUAAGGAAUGUUGGUCAAUGGACGCAAGUCUGAAACAGCCAUGCCGCGUGAAGGAUGAAGGUCCUCUGGAUUGUAAACUUCUUUUAUAGGGGGCGAAAAAAGGGAAUUCUUUCUCACUUGACAGUACCCUAUGAAUAAGCACCGGCUAACUCCGUGCCAGCCGCCGCAGUAA
rnacentral:rRNA from 1 species